UUGAUUCAUUUCUCGCUGUACCCGGAAGAAUGCAGUGCACAAACAGAGUGUUGGGGCCCCCCGGCGGGCGCCUGGUUCCGGGCCGCCGCAGCGGCGCCGGGGCUGUCCGCCGAAGCAACGUCGAGGUAUGUUCGCGGGGGUUUGGGAGUUGUAAACUCGGUAAUGAUCCCUCCGCUGGUUCACCAACGGAGA
rnacentral:misc_RNA from 1 species